GGGGAGUGGCGCAUGCUUAACAUGCAGUCGAACGGCAGCACGGGUGCUUGCACCUGGUGGCGAGUGGCGAACGGGUGAGUAAUACAUCGGAACAUGUCCUGUAGUGGGGGAUAGCCCGGCGAAAGCCGGAUUAAUACCGCAUACGAUCUACGGAAGAAAGCGGGGGACCUUCGGGCCUCGCGCUAUAGGGUUGGCCGAUGGCUGAUUAGCUAGUUGGUGGGGUAAAGGCCUACCAAGGCGACGAUCAGUAGCUGGUCUGAGAGGACGACCAGCCACACUGGGACUGAGACACGGCCCAGACUCCUACGGGAGGCAGCAGUGGGGAAUUUUGGACAAUGGGCGAAAGCCUGAUCCAGCAAUGCCGCGUGUGUGAAGAAGGCCUUCGGGUUGUAAAGCACUUUUGUCCGGAAAGAAAUCCUGAGGGCUAAUAUCCUUCGGGGAUGACGGUACCGGAAGAAUAAGCACCGGCUAACUACGUGCCAGCAGCCGCGGUAAUACGUAGGGUGCGAGCGUUAAUCGGAAUUACUGGGCGUAAAGCGUGCGCAGGCGGUUUGCUAAGACCGAUGUGAAAUCCCCGGGCUCAACCUGGGAACUGCAUUGGUGACUGGCAGGCUAGAGUAUGGCAGAGGGGGGUAGAAUUCCACGUGUAGCAGUGAAAUGCGUAGAGAUGUGGAGGAAUACCGAUGGCGAAGGCAGCCCCCUGGGCCAAUACUGACGCUCAUGCACGAAAGCGUGGGGAGCAACAGGAGA
rnacentral:rRNA from 1 species